rnacentral:rRNA from 1 species
GCAUGUCCUAACACAUGUCAAGUCGAACGAACCCUUCGGGGUGAGUGGCGCACGGGUGCGUAACGCGUGGGAACCUGCCCUUAGGUUUGGAAUAACAGUGAGAAAUCGCUGCUAAUACCAAAUAAUGUCUUCGGACCAAAGAUUUAUCGCCUUUGGAUGGGCCUGCGUAUGGAUUAGCUAGUUGGUGGGGUAAAGGCUCACCAAGGCNUCGAUCCAUAGCUGGUCUUAGAGGAUGAUCAGCCACACUGGGACUGAGACAC